rnacentral:rRNA from 1 species
AAAAUUGUUGCAGUUAAAACGUUCGUAGUUGAAUAUUAAAGAAUCCGAUGUUUCAUUUAAACUGGUUUGGGAAAACCAAAUAUAUUAUAUAUUUUGCUUUGUUCAAAAUAAGGUUUUCUAAUAAAUUAUGUUUUUAUCAGAUAUGACAGAAUCUUUUUUAAAAUCUCUUCAAUAUGCUUUUAUUGCUUUUGAGAGGUUUUGUUACUUUGAGUAAAAUUAAGUGUUCAUAACAGACGGGUAGUCAUGAUUGAGUUCAUUGUGUUUGAAUACUACAGCAUGGAAUAACAAAUAUGAAUAAGCUAAUUAUUUUUUUUUUUCAUAAUUUUUUUUGAUAUUCUUAUUAGCUUAGUUACGAUUAAUAGGAGUAGCUUUGGGGGCAUUCGUAUUCAGAUGUCAGAGGUGAAAUUCUAAGAUUUUCUGGAGACGGACUACUGCGAAAGCAUUUGCCUAAUCUAUUUCCAUUAAUCAAGAACGAAAGUUAAGGGAGUGAAGACGAUCAGAUACCGUCGUAAUCUUAACCAUAAACUAUACCGACUAGGUGUUGGAUGAAAGUGUUAAAAAUAAAAGUCAUCUUUCGAGGUGACUUUUAGAUUGCUUCCUUCAGUACCUUAUGAGAAAUCAAAGUCUUUGGGUUCUGGGGCGAGUAUUCGCGCAAGCGAGAAAGUUAAAAGAAUUGACGGAAGGGCACCACCAGGCGUGGAGCUUGCGGCUUAAUUUGACUCAACACGGGGAAACUCACUAGUUUAAGACAAGAGUAGGAUUGACAGAUUAAUAGCUCUUUUCUUGAUUUCUUGGAUGGUGAUGCAUGGCCGUUUUUAGUUCGUGAAUAUGAUUUGUCUGGUUAAUUCCGAUAACGAACGAGGAUCUUAACCUGCUAAUUAGCGGCGAGUACACUAUAUUCUUAUUUGAAAUUGAACAUAGGUAACUAUACAUUUAUUCAGUAAUCAAAUUAGGAUAUUUUUAUUAAAAUAUCCUUUUCCCUGUUCUACUAAUAAUUUGUUUUUUACUCUAUUUCUCUCUUCUUUUAAGAAUGUACUUGCUUGAUUGAAAAGCUUCUUAGAGGAACAUUGUGUGUCUAACACAAGGAAGUUUAAGGCAACAACAGG